CCCAAAAAUGUCUCGAAGCCGUUCCGCAGCUGCCAGCUCCUCUCAAAAGCCGGACGAUAUGGACCUAAUGUCGCCGGACGGCUCGGCGAGCUCCCCAUCGGCCCCAAACACGCCAGCGACGAAUUCCGGCGGAUUUAGCUCGGAUAGAAAGAAGGCGACGCACUUGAGGUGUGAACGGCAGCGAAGAGAAGCUAUAAAUGUUUGUUGAAGCUUGGAAAUUCGUGGAAAAAAGCUAAAAUUUCAACUUUUCAGAGCGGAUACAGUGAUUUAAAGGAUUUAAUUCCUCAGACAACGACUUCGCUGGGAUGUAAAACUACAAACGCCGCGAUUUUAUUCAGG
rnacentral:sRNA from 1 species